UCUGUUGACUCAACACAGGGUCUCUAAGGGUCAGUCAUACAAUGAGGGUACCUUGGGUAUGAGAGAAGUAUAUACUGUAGUUAUCAGAAUAAGUAACCUGUGUAUAGGUAACCUGUAAGCUUCCUGAUACUCAGUCUGCAACAACUACAAUUUGGUCCAGUGCCUGUGUUUAACUGAAGGCUUCUCUACAAGCUCCAACAGGAACCGGCAGCCUGGCAAGAUGCAACGCAACCACCGUGCAUGCCAUGCAGCAGUGUCCGCUCCCUGCAAAGACCCUCACAGGUCCCACCAACCGUUGCUGCAAUCAGUCAAGAUUUUGAACUGGAAGAUACUACUCAGACUGGCCGAGACUGCACCAGAGACAUUACAGCACCUUACAUCCUCAUGUGGGAUUCUGUUGGGAUCCAUCAACUAUGCUUACCUUGCCACAGGCUCCAGAUUCUGAGCCUAAUUCACUAUGGUUCGCUACUGUGGAUGAAAUAGCAAUUUUCACAAACCUGCUAAUGCUAAAAAUUGCAUGUGAAGAGCCGCCCAGAAAGGAUAAGAUGCCCACCGAUGCGUUUGCAAAUCGCAAUGCAUAUGCAAAAAACAAGCACAAUAAACAGUUCCGACUGGCCUUUGCCUACUGAAAUAGGUGUGAAUGCAGUUGCAGUCGCUCCGUAUACCAUGUUUUUUAAUGCAGCGUUCGCAGAUGACGUCAGGUACACACCACGAAAACAGCCAUGGCACGUUUGCGUAUUUUCAACCAUUCCCCACAAAUGCCAUGUUACCACCCACAAACGGUCACUUCCUGUCAAUCAAAUUGUGUUCUCUUUACAAUUAGUCUGCAUACGCAGAGCGAUCGCAUAUUGACCUUUGCGUACGCAAUAAUAAUUCACUGCAAGCAAUCUCACAUUUGCAAACGUUAGUAAAUCAGGCCCUCUGUGCAGUUAUCUCAUGAAGACUGAUGGGACCAACUGAUGGACAUUUAAGUGUGCACCAUAAAAUAAUCUUCUCCAGCCACUAGAGGCACAAUAAAUCCAUUCUCCAGUUUUGGACAUGGAAGUAAGUGGGAAAUACUUGACUGCUGUUUCUAAAUCAGAGUCACUCGCAACAUGAUUUAUUAGUUUAUUAUUUUUCUAACACAGUAAAGUUAAUACUAUAUGGCAAGAAAAAAAA